rnacentral:lncRNA from 1 species
GAGAGGCCGGGGAGACAGACUCGCGGCGGACACGCGGGAAGGACGCGGGGGAAGCGUCCAAGGCGUUUGUCCCCCGGGUCGCCGAGCCCUCCUCGUCCCCUUCGCACGGCUGAGCGACCCUGCUGGGCAGGGGGGGACGCGGGAGUCUGGGAUGCCGGGGCCCUCAACUGUUGCUGUAGGAAGCUGCUGGGGUGAGGAGCGGGGCGGGGGCCGCGACCUGGAGCUGGGCAUGGAGAGGGCACGGAGCCAGAGGGCGAAAGGCGGCUGUGGGCGCGCCGGGAUCCCGGGCGCCGUGUUCUCUCCGCAUCUGCGGCUCGCAUCUGCCAUCCCCGACCCCCGUCACCGGCAAUGAGUCCCCCAGGGCCUCUCCUCCGGCUCCCAUUCCUCUCUGAGUCUCGUAAAAGGAUCCCGCCUCUGGCCUCAGGAAAUCAAGGUGGACUUCUGGCGUGGCGGGGUCUUCCAGAGGCUGCUCCAAGCCCCGGGGGACCCAGGCUCGGAGGGCUGGAGAGGAGGGAUGGGCGGGGCGGGCUGGCGACGCCUGAGCCUCUGCUCCGGGGCCCGGGGCCCGGGGCGGCACCAGCGGGGCACCCUGAUUUCCUGGGCUUGGACCAGGAUCCCCGACGGCUGGGAGCAGCGGCCGGCGUCUCCUGCUGCCGAGCGCGUUUUAUGCCAAGGCCUCGGUGGGCAGCACUGGGAGGCGACAGCAAAGGUGCCCUGCAGCCUGAAGUCCCCCAGGGUGCUCCCGGCGACCCUUUGAAGUUCCUGCUGUGUGGGGAGGGGCGAAUUCCCGCUGGGCCUGAAGCUCGUCCCCUUUGUCCACCGUGUUUCCCAGCCCUGCUCGCCCACCGGGACUUCUGACCCUGGCCCCCAGCCCUCGGAUGGUGGCCCCGUCCUGGCUCGAGCACAGACCCCCGGCCGCGGGAAAAUCGAGGAGAGCUUAUCUGGACAGGGUGCCCUCGCGCUGGAUAUAUCUUGGAGCGGGCCCAGGACGUGGCGGCCGUGGCUCUGAGCCUGUUUCUAAACUCGGAAGAAGAAGAGCUCGAAAGGGACAGGUUAGAAAGAUCCCGGGUACCCGUGAUGGACUGGGAAGCGGCUCAGGGUUUCAGGUGCCCCGGGCCCUGGACAGGGAGGUGUCCCCCCUUUUCUGUCCCUCUCUGGAUAUGUGUCCUCUGACCCUUGCCCUCAUCUCUUGUUUGUCUGUCCGUCUGCCUCUCUCUGUGUCUGUCUUGGUGUUUCCGCAGGACCCUCCGUUGGACAUGGGUGGGGCCCUGGGGCCAGCCCUGCUGCUGGCCUCGCUCCUGGGUGCCUGGGCAGGGCCGGGCCCAGGGCAAGGUGACCAGGCUGUGACAGUGGCCAUGGUGUUUGGUAGCUCAGGGCCACCACAGACCCAGGCCCGUGCCCGCCUCAUCCCCCCGAGCUUCCGGGACCUGCCCCUGAACAUCCAGCCACUCACUGUGGGAGUCAACGAUACCGACCCCAGCAGUCUCCUCACCCAGAUCUGCGGACUCCUGGGAGCUGCCCGUGUCCACGGCAUCGUCUUUGAGGACAACGUGGGCACCGAGGCGGUGGCCCAGCUCCUGGACUUCGUCUCCUCCCAGACUCAUGUGCCCAUCCUCAGCAUCAGCGGGGGCUCUGCUGUGGUCCUUACCCCCAAGGAGCCAGGCAUGGUGGUGCACCUCUGUAAUCCCAGCACAUGGGAGGCUGAGGCAGGAAGAUUGCAAGUUCACGGCCAACCUGGACUACAUAGUGAGUUCAAGGCCAACCUGAUCCGCACAGGGAGACCCUGUUUCAAAAAAAAAAAAAAAAAUUCACCUAUAGGGGACAGCACUCCAGGGGAAGUCACUGUUCCCAGCAGGUGGGAGGCUGAGGUGACCUUCCAGGUACUUGCAGUCUCCUGGGGAGAACAUUCUCAACAGAUCACCUGCAGUUCCAAAUUGGGAAGUGUACUCAGAAGGAAAAACCCAGGAGGCCACAGGGCAGUCUCACGGGGCUCCUGUUUGGAUAGAGAUCUCCAGAAAUAAUGUCCAUGUUGAGACCUGGAGUAUAAGAGGCAGGAGUCAGGGAGGGUGAGGGCUGGGAGGCUUCCAGACCAGGAGCAGGUAGCGAUGUUAGAAGUGUUAGAGUAGAGAGAGUCUGGAGGAGGAGGUGAGUCCCAACCACAUGGGAGGCACUGGACAUUUCUUAAGUGGCAGCCAGGGAAGGUUUGGAGGGAAGAGGCUGAUCUGAUUUGCCUUUAUUUAUUUAUUUGGCGGGAGGCACUGGACAUUUCUUAAGUGGCAGCCAGGGAAGAGGCUGAUCUGAUUUGCCUUUAUUUAUUUAUUUGGCACUGGGGAUUUAACAUUCCCAGCCCCAUCUGCCCUCUUUUUUGAGACAGGAUCUUGCUAAGUUGUCCAGGUAGGAAUCCACCUUGUGAUCCUCCUGCCUCCACCACUGUACUUGGCUUGAUUUGAUUCAUUUCACUACUACUUUAUCAUGGAGAAUUUUGAGCCUAAAAGACUAUAAUGAAUCCCCACCUACCUCCCACUCUCCUUGGCCAAGAACCCCAUCUUCAUGCCCACCUACUUCUCCCUCUUCUGUGCUCAACUGAAGCAAAGGUCAGUCAUCCCACUGCUGCACCUAGAACUAUUUCAGUACGUAUCUUCAGCAGAUAAGGGCUUUAAAAAGUAAAGCUACCAUAUGUUAUCAUGUCUAAAUAAUAAAAAUUCCUUAACAUUACCAGAUACCCAGCCAGUGCUCACGUCUCCCCAUUGUCUCAUAAAUCCCACAGAUGUUUAUUUUUAAGUCCACUCAAAUCACGUAGGUCCACAUGGAGCAGCUGGUGGAUAUGGUUGCUAAGUCUCAACUUGUAGGCUUCCCCUUUAUCUCUUUCUCUUUUAACUGCAAGUUGCUUAUUGAAGAAACUGGGUUGCUCGGCCUGUAUUGCUUCUCUCAUUGGCUUUUCAGAAAGACUGGAAGGUGGCAGUGUAGUGACAUUUCUGAGGCGCUACAGUGCCACCGUUAGAGGACACUGUGGCUUCCGGCUGCCAGGGUCUUGGGCUUCCGAGGUGGCAGAGGCAAUGGGCGAGUGGGAGGACCAUUCUCACCCCUCCCAGUUAUCUUUGCACCUCGGGGAUCAGCUCUCAGGACAGUGGUUCUCAGCCCUCACAGUGCUUGCAGAAAAAUACAGAUCCCCCUCGUCCCCCGUCACACCUCUGAAACCCAGAUUCAGUAGGUCUGGGGAAGCACUUCUCAAAUUAGCGGGCUCAAGAGAAAGCAGAAGAGCUUUUAAAAGGCAGAUUCUGAUCCAGUCUGGGGUGCGGCCCGAGAAUAUGCAUUUCUAACAAGUUCUUCCGUGCUGCUGUGUGUGGCCAGGAACGGUCGCAUGGGGGCCGGGCGUGCAUAGUUUACAGAGGUCCACAGGUGAUUCCUAUGGGCAGCCGGACAAGGAGCUUCGUGGAGCGGGGCACUGCGCUUCGGUGCAGGCGUCCGGAACCCAGAGCAUCCUGCUAGGCAGGGGCUUCUGGAGCGGAUGGAGGGGCUGACGGGAGGGGGGGCGGGGCGGGGCUCACGUCG